UUUGGUGGACAGUGGCGGAAGGGUGAGUAACGCGUGGGUAACCUGCCCCCUAGUUGGGGACAACGUUUGGAAACGAACGCUAAUACCGAAUGUGGUAUUCUCUGGCAUCAGAGGAUUACUAAAGAUGGGGAUUCUUCGGAACCUGUCGCUUGGGGAGGGGCCCGCGUACCAUCAGCUUGUUGGUAAGGUAACGGCUUACCAAGGCCUACGGUUAGCUGGUCUGAGAGGAUGAUCAGCCACACUGGGACUGAGACACUGCCCAGACUCCUACGGGAGGCUGCAGUCGAGGAUCAUUCGCAAUGCGCGAAAGCGUGACGAUGCGACGCUGCGUGGAGGAUGAAGGCCCUAGGGUCGUAAACUCCUGUCAUGAGGGAAAAGCUGGCAGAGGGCUAAUACCCCUUUGUCUCGAUGGUACCUCAAGAGGAAGCCACGGCUAACUCUGUGCCAGCAGCCGCGGUAAUACAGAGGUGGCGAGCGUUGUUCGGAUUUACUGGGCGUAAAGGGUACGUAGGUGGUAUCGUAUGUCGGGAGUGAAAGCCCAUGGCUCAACCAUGGAAUUGCUUCCGAAACUGCGGAACUAGAGUACAGGAGGGGAGAGCGGAAUUCUUGGUGUAGCGGUGAAAUGCGUUGAUAUCAAGAAGAACACCGGUGGCGAAGGCGGCUCUCUGGAAUGUUACUGACGCUGAGGUACGAAAGCUGGGGGAGCAAACAGGAUUAGAUACCCUGUAGUCCCACCGUAAACGGUGUGAACUUGUGUGGGCGGUAUUGACCCCGCCGUGCCGGAACUACGCGUUAAGUUCACCGCCUUGGGAGU
rnacentral:rRNA from 1 species